GCGUAAUUGAGACUACAGGUGCACACACUACCAUGACUAGAAAGCAAGAAGAUUGAAUAUACCAUUGUUUUUUUAAGGCACUUGCUUCUAUUUGAUACCAGAGAAAUUGGAUUUAUCUACCUCCCUCCUGGAAAAGCUGUUUAAAGAUUAUCUGAUAUUGGAGAAUCUCUCUGAGCUUUCCUAAUAAGCUUUAACUCAUUUCCUCCACAAGCAUCCAGAUCCUUUCCUUAGAGACUGCAGUGCUGUCACAGUGGGAGAUGACAACUUGAGGACUGGGUGAAGCAGUAGGGAAAACACACUCAUGAAACAAAGAUCUUAUUUCCAUAGUGAUUUCCGAGUGUUGUGUCACAAAGCAGUAGGAGGUAAAGCACAUGGCCCUGCCCAGAGGUACGGAUCUUAGGAGAUAUUCUCAUAUAAAUUAACUUUCUUCCUCAUCCUUUGUUCAUACAUCAUGAUCACAUCACUACUACUGCAAGGUCUUCAUGUGCAUAUAGUGUUUGAACGUUAACGACAGCAACAAUACAUAGCUCCUACUAUGCUCAAGGCACCAGUUUUGGAACUCCACGCAAUUAGAAAAUGGAUGCACUGACACGUUAACUGAUUUCCUCCUGAACUGUCAAUUACCUUGAACAGUGCAUGGUAUGCAGUAGGUGCUGAAUAUGCAGUAUAUUUGCUGUCCAUUAAUAGUUUAAAACAUUAAAGAAAGUUUGGAGGCAGAUCUUCCAGAUGCAGUGUCUAUACUCAGGUCAUUGUGUUCCAUGAGCAAGAAGUUUAUAAAAAUAAAAAAGAUGCACUUUGGCCAAAACCUGAAGAAGAUCUGUGCAGAUGUACUAGAAAAAUAAAAUCAGUUCUCCUUAAAAUAGCAAUAUUUUACUUAAUAUUGUGCAUUCAAAGAAGAUUCAAAUAUAUCUAUAACUUAUGACUAAUACCAACACACAAAGGUUAAGCAAUCCCAAUACACUUGGCAAUUGUCUUGAGCCGUUUCAUGUUCAUUUGUAUAUUUUCCAUACUUUCCUAUGUGCCACCUCCUCCUGAAAUUCAGGUGUGUUUUGUUGUUGUUGUUCAAGAUACUGUAAUCAAUUCUUGGAACUGACAAUAGUUUCUGUGUCUAAUACAGCUUUCUCCCUAAGAAGAAUGGGGCUACAGAUAUUAAUUAAAAAUAACCAAUUCACACUUCAAUUUCUAGAUAAACACACAAACAAACAGCAACAACAGAAAAUAAAUACCCCAUGGUUCCUCUGAUUUGAGGAUGAUACUUUAAAAAAUGUAGCUGAAUAUUUAUUCUACCUGUAGAAGAUAAGUUCUAAGUCUACAAACCCUGACUCCCUUUAUAUGCCUAUAGCCAUUUGCCCAUUCUAAA